UCUCCGUAGGUGAACCUGCGGAGGGAUCAUUACUGAGUGAGGGCUCACGCCCGACCUCCAACCCUUUGUGAACACAUCUUGUUGCUUCGGGGGCGACCCUGCCGGCACUCUGUCGCCGGGCGCCCCCGAAGGUCUCCAAACACUGCAUCUUUGCGUCGGAGUUUAAAACAAAUAAAAAAAACCUUUCAACAACGGAUCUCUUGUUUCUGCAAUCGAUGAAGAACGCGGC
rnacentral:misc_RNA from 1 species